CAAUAGCGUAUAUUAAAGUUGUUGCAGUUAAGAAGCUCAUAGUUGGAUUUCUGGUUGAAGCGACCGGUCGGGCGUUGAUUCGUCUGCACUGGAGUCGGUUUUGGCCAUCCUCUAGGAAAGUGCGUCUGGUAUUAAGUUAUCGGGCGUAUGAUCCUGGUCUUUUACUGUGAAAAAAUUAGAGUGUUUAAAGCAGGCCUUCGCCUUGAAUACAUUAGCAUGGAAUAAUAAGAUAGGACUUUGGUCUAUUUUGUUGGUUUGCAGACCGAAGUAAUGAUUAAUAGGGAUAGUUGGGGGUAUUUAUAUUCCGAUGUCAGAGGUGAAAUUCUUAGAUUUUCGGAAGAUAAACUUAUGCGAAAGCAUUUACCAAGGAUGUUUUCAUUA
rnacentral:rRNA from 1 species